rnacentral:rRNA from 1 species
AUUGAACGCUGGCGGCAUGCCUUACACAUGCAAGUCGAACGGCAGCACGGGAGCAAUCCUGGUGGCGAGUGGCGAACGGGUGAGUAAUAUAUCGGAACGUGCCCAGUCGUGGGGAUAACGUAGCGAAAGCUACGCUAAUACCGCAUACGAUCUACGGAUGAAAGCGGGGGAUCGCAAGACCUCGCGCGAUUGGAGCGGCCGAUAUCAGAUUAGGUAGUUGGUGAGGUAAAGGCUCACCAAGCCGACGAUCUGUAGCUGGUCUGAGAGGACGACCAGCCACACUGGGACUGAGACACGGCCCAGACUCCUACGGGAGGCAACAGUGGGGAAUUUUGGGACAAUGGGCGCAAGCCUGAUCCAGCAAUGCCGCGUGCAGGAUGAAGGCCUUCGGGUUGGUUAAAC